rnacentral:rRNA from 1 species
AGUGAACGCUGGCGGUAGGCCUAACACAUGCAAGUCGAACGGCAGCACAGUAAGAGCUUGCUCUUACGGGUGGCGAGUGGCGGACGGGUGAGGAAUACAUCGGAAUCUACUUUUUCGUGGGGGAUAACGUAGGGAAACUUACGCUAAUACCGCAUACGACCUACGGCUGAAAGCAUGGGAUCUUCGGACCUUGCGCGAUUGAAUGAGCCGAUGUCGGAUUAGCUAGUUGGCGGGGUAAAGGCCCACCAAGGCGACGAUCCGUAGCUGGUCUGAGAGGAUGAUCAGCCAAACUGGAACUGAGACACGGUCCAGACUCCUACGGGAGGCAGCAGUGGGGAAUAUUGGACAAUGGGCGAAAGCCUGAUCCAGCCAUACCGCGUGGGUGAAGAAGGCCUUCGGGUUGUAAAGCCCUUUUGUUGGGAAAGAAAAGCAGCAGGUUAAUACCCCGCUGUUCUGACGGUACCCAAAGAAUAAGCACCGGCUAACUUCGUG